rnacentral:lncRNA from 1 species
CAAGACCGAACCAGUAUGACUACAGUCUGACAUACAAGAUAAGUGCACCAAACUCCAAUAUAAUUGACAACAACGUCAGUAGCUUGUUCCGCACCUGAUGCAAGCAAAAUGUAGAUGAGACAUAGAAUGGGAAAGUUCGUCGAAACCCAAAAUGAGGAAACUAAAAUAUGUGACUGAUACAUUAACUCACGUAUAGACCAUUUAUUCAAUCACACCAUCAAUUCCAAAGAAAUUUCUCCAUAACAUCAAAAGGGGAAAGCUUUAAGAACUAAAAUUAUCAAAUAACGGAGCAUAACAAAUCCCCAAUUAUGAUACAACAGAAAAUAUAUUGUUA